rnacentral:rRNA from 1 species
AUUGAACGCUGGCGGCAGGCCUAACACAUGCAAGUCGAACGAGAGGCGGACGGGUGAGUAAUGUCUGGGAAACUGCCCGAUAGAGGGGGAUAACUACUGGAAACGGUUGCUAAUACCGCAUACCAUCGGAUGUGCCCAGAUGGGAUGAGCUAGUAGGUGGGGUAACGGCGCACCUAGGCGACGUGCCCUAGCUGGUCUGAGAGGAUGAUCACACAAACUGGGACUGAGACACGGUCCAGACUCCUACGGCAGGCAGCAGUGGGGAAUAUUGCACAAUGGGCGCAAGCCUGAUGCAGCCAUGCCGCGUGUAUGAAGAAGGCCUUCGGGUUGUAAAGUACUGUCAGCGAGGAGGCGUUACUCGCAGAAGAAGCACCGGCUAACUCCGUGCCAGCAGCCGCGGUAAUAC